ACGAACGCUGGCGGCGUGCUUAACACAUGCAAGUCGGACGGAAAGGCCCUGCUUUUGUGGGGUGCUCGAGUGGCGAACGGGUGAGUAACACGUGAGUAACCUGCCCUUGACUUUGGGAUAACUUCAGGAAACUGGGGCUAAUACCGGAUAGGAGCUCCUGCUGCAUGGUGGGGGUUGGAAAGUUUCGGCGGUUGGGGAUGGACUCGCGGCUUAUCAGCUUGUUGGUGGGGUAGUGGCUUACCAAGGCUUUGACGGGUAGCCGGCCUGAGAGGGUGACCGGCCACAUUGGGACUGAGAUACGGCCCAGACUCCUGCGGGAGGCAGCAGUGGGGAAUAUUGCACAAUGGGCGGAAGCCUGAUGCAGCAACGCCGCGUGCGGGAUGACGGCCUUCGGGUUGUAAACCGCUUUCGCCUGUGACGAAGCGUGAGUGACGGUAAUGGGUAAAGAAGCACCGGCUAACUACGUG
rnacentral:rRNA from 1 species